AAGAAGGUUUGGAUGCUGGGAACUCAUCUGAGUACUCAAACUUGAAGUGCCCCAUGUGCCGAGGAGCUGUGCUAGGCUUGGAAGUUAUAGAAGAAGCAAGAGAAUAUCUUAAUCUAAAGAAACGAAGUUGCUCCCGCGAAACUUGCUCGUUCUCUGGCAACUAUCAAGAACUACGUAGGCAUGCUAGAAGAGUUCACCCGAUGUCACGGCCUUCUGUCAUAGACCCAUCUAGAGAACGGGCAUGGCGACGCUUGGAGAGACAGCGAGAAGUUGGUGAUGUUGUCAGUGCCAUUCGCUCAGCCAUGCCUGGUGCCCUCGUGGUUGGAGACUACGUCAUUGAAAAUGGAGAUGGUAUAGUGGCAGGUGAAAGAGACAAUGGCACAGGUGAUGUCAAUGGGCCAUUGCUGACUAGUUUCUUUCUGUUUCAUAUGUUUGGAUCGGUUGAUGGGGCUCGGGAGCCAAGGCCACGUUCAAGGUCUUGGGUUAGGCAUCGACGCUCUGGAGGUGGGACACCUGUACCAGAGCGCCGGUUCCUUUGGGGUGAAAACCUUUUGGGAUUACAAGAAGAGGCAGACGAAGAUUACCGCAUAUACAUCGGUAUGGGCGAAGAUGCAUCACCACCUACAAGAAGGAGACGUGUAACCAGGCCUGGAUCUGAUGCAGAUCAACCAUGAGAGGAUUCAUCUUCUGUGGCGGGCAUCCCAGCAUUGAUCCAUUGUGUGGGGUCGUCUGGAACAUCAAGAAAUACGUGCUUCCCAAUUCUCAAGGGUUCAGUUGGCCAUCGUCUUGAUGCAAGUACACAGCCCGCAUUUGGCUCACACAGGAAGCAAGGAGAGGGAAGACCCGAUGAGAUGAAUAAGCGUCAUCUUUUCGAAGUUCUCAGAUGGAAUCAUAAUCCUUUUGCUUUAUUUUAUUCGAAUUUAAGGUGUAUGAUUGUAAGUCUCUGCCUAACCUUUGUAUAUAAUGGGAUGAUGAUUUCAUUUGUUU
rnacentral:misc_RNA from 1 species